GAAUCAUAUACAUACAUUCAUUACAUCAUUUACAGAAAUGCAUGUAUGUUUACUGGGUUAGCAAAUCGCAAGUUCAUGUUUUUACAAACAACAAAACUUAGAAUCCACUAAGUAUGUACAUUCUGUGUAAUCUGAGAAGAAGUAUAAAUGUAGAGAGUUUUAAGAAAAGACUUAUAAAAGAAUCGACUUGAUAAAAGAGGAGUCUUGAACUUUGAUUUCAUGGUGGAGCCUGGGUGUUGUUGGUCCGAGCCGGAGAGCCAGGGCGAUGGAAGAGAGGUGAGACGGUGGCCGUUGAUGUCGUCUGACUUAGGGGCGAAGGGGAGGUGGGUGAUGUAUCUAGGGCUCGGCGGUGGCGGCUCUUGGCCGCGGUCGCCGGAAUUAGAGGAAAUAGGAGCGGUGAUUUGGGGACUUAGGGCUCCGCUAGGCGGUGGUUCAACUGCCGUUCGGCUGAAGAGAGGGAGCUCAGGCGACUGCCUUGUCAGGGGGCGGCGCUACCGCUCAAAUUUCGAGCGACGCCGGCGAGGGAGUACUCUGGUUCUUAUUUUCAGCGAAAGGGAGAAAAUGGGAGAGUGAGAAGAGGGUGACGCCGGCGAGGGAAAUACCGGAGGGGGAAUUGAGCGACGCCUGUAUCGGUUUGUGUGUGUGUGUUUCAUUUUGGGGAAGAAAGAGUUGAGAGAGAGUGUUGAGCGGGCUGGGUGAAUUGAAGAGAAGGGUUAGGUGUUGGGCUCUGUCAUGGGCCAAUUUAAUUCUCUGGUGGGCCAUUUUUAUUUAAUUUGUUGGGCUAAAGUUGUUAUUUAAGUCAUGGGCUGAGUUUAUUUAAAGUAUUGGGCCUUUAUUUAUUUCUUUAUAUGGGUGCGAAUUUUUAAGAAGUUGGUCCUUACAUUUAAUUAUUUUGGACAGCUCACAUUUUAAUUAAUUUGACUAUCACUAGUUGAUUAAUUAUUUUAAAGAUAAAUUGCAUAAUAAUAUUUUAUUAUUAUUAUUA